UACGGAGGAGGCAAGCGUUAUCCGGAAUUAUUGGGCGUAAAGCGUCCGCAGGUGGUUAUCCAAGUCUGCUGUUAAAGCGCGAGGCUUAACUUCGUACAGGCAGUGGAAACUGGGUGACUGGAGUAUGGUAGGGGUAGCGGGAAUUCCCAGUGUAGCGGUGAAAUGCGUAGAUAUUGGGAAGAACACCAGCGGCGAAAGCGCGCUACUGGGCCAUUACUGACACUCAUGGACGAAAGCUAGGGGAGCGAAAGGG
rnacentral:rRNA from 1 species